UUGCUGACUCAAAGCUCUGCAUUUCUUCUGGAAUUUCUGUGCUGUGAAUGUCAGUCUCAUCUCAACUGUAGCGAUAAUCUGAUGUGGUCCAGUCAGCGCAAAGUUCAGUACUUGCAUUAAAAGGAAAAAGAAAAAAUA